AAGAAGCACCGGCUAACUACGUGCCAGCAGCCGCGGUAAUACGUAGGGUGCGAGCGUUAAUCGGAAUUACUGGGCGUAAAGCGUGCGCAGGCGGCUUUUUAAGCCAGAUGUGAAAUCCCCGGGCUUAACCUGGGAACUGCAUUUGUGACUGGAAGGCUAGAGUGUAGCAGAGGGGGGUAGAAUUCCACGUGUAGCAGUGAAAUGCGUAGAGAUGUGGAGGAAUACCGAUGGCGAAGGCAGCCCCCUGGGCUAACACUGACGCUCAUGCACGAAAGCGUGGGGAGCAA
rnacentral:rRNA from 1 species